CGUCGGCCCUCCAAAGGCCGGCACCGAAGAGGCUUGUUUCUCUUUGCCCGGCGUGCGGUGGGGAUCCCCCUUCCAAUCCACGGCAGCUUCCGGGUGCUGAUGCGCCCGCGGUCGACGACGUGUCUC
rfam:Methylobacterium sp. Leaf93 contig_4, whole genome shotgun sequence.